AUGAACGCUGGCGGCGUGCCUAACCCCUGCCAGUCGAGCGAAGCGCUUAAAUUAGAUUUCUUCGGAAUGACGAUUUUUGUGACUGAGCGGCGGACGGGUGAGUAACGCGUGGGUAACCUGCCUCAUACAGGGGGAUAACAGUUAGAAAUGACUGCUAAUACCGCAUAAGACCCCAGCUUCGCAUGAAGCGGUGGUAAAAACUCCGGUGGUAUGAGAUGGACCCGCGUCUGAUUAGCUAGUUGGUAAGGUAACGGCUUACCAAGGCGACGAUCAGUAGCCGACCUGAGAGGGUGACCGGCCACAUUGGGACUGAGACACGGCCCAGACUCCUACGGGAGGCAGCAGUGGGGAAUAUUGCACAAUGGGGGAAACCCUGAUGCAGCGACGCCGCGUGAAGGAUGAAGUAUUUCGGUAUGUAAACUUCUAUCAGCAGGGAAGAAAGUGACGGUACCUGACUAAGAAGCCCCGGCUAACUACGUG
rnacentral:rRNA from 1 species